AAAACACGAACUAACGCUGGCGGCGUGCCUAACACAUGCAAGUCGUACGAGAAAGUUGGCUUCGGCCGAUGAGUAAAGUGGCGCACGGGUGAGUAACGCGUGGAUAAUCUACCCCUCAGUUGGGAAUAACUCAUCGAAAGGUGGGCUAAUACCGAAUAAUACUGCAUGACUUCUGUUGUAUAGUCAAAGAUGGCCUCUGCUUGCAAGCUAUCGCUGAAGGAUGAGUCCGCGUACCAUUAGCUAGUUGGUAGGGUAAUGGCCUACCAAGGCAACGAUGGUUAGCUGGUCUGAGAGGAUGAUCAGCCACACUGGAACUGAGACACGGUCCAG
rnacentral:rRNA from 1 species